GAUGAACGCUAGCGGGAGGCCUAACACAUGCAAGCCGAGCGGUAGAAUCUCUUCGGAGAUUUGAGAGCGGCGUACGGGUGCGGAACACGUGUGCAACCUGCCUUUAUCUGGAGGAUAGCCUUUCGAAAGGAAGAUUAAUACUCCAUAAUAUAUUGAAUGGCAUCAUUUAAUAUUGAAAGCUCCGGCGGAUAGAGAUGGGCACGCGCAAGAUUAGCUUGUUGGUGAGGUAACGGCUCACCAAGGCAGUGAUCUUUAGGGGGCCUGAGAGGGUGAUCCCCCACACUGGUACUGAGACACGGACCAGACUCCUACGGGAGGCAGCAGUGAGGAAUAUUGGACAAUGGGUGCAAGCCUGAUCCAGCCAUCCCGCGUGAAGGAUUAAGGUCCUAUGGAUUGUAAACUUCUUUUAUACAGGGAUAAACCUACUUACGUGUAAGUAGCUGAAGGUACUGUAUGAAUAAGCACCGGCUAACUCCGUGCCAGCAGCCGCGGUAAUACGGAGGGUGCAAGCGUUAUCCGGAUUUAUUGGGUUUAAAGGGUCCGUAGGCGGACUUAUAAGUCAGUGGUGAAAUCUCAUAGCUUAACUAUGAAACUGCCAUUGAUACUGUAAGUCUUGAGUGUAGUUGAGGUAGCUGGAAUAAGUAGUGUAGCGGUGAAAUGCAUAGAUAUUACUUAGAACACCAAUUGCGAAGGCAGGUUACCAAGUUACAACUGACGCUGAUGGACGAAAGCGUGGGGAGCGAACAGGAUUAGAUACCCUGGUAGUCCACGCUGUAAACGAUGCUAACUCGUUUUUGGGGCGCAAGCUUCAGAGACCAAGCGAAAGUGAUAAGUUAGCCACCUGGGGAGUACGAACGCAAGUUUGAAACUCAAAGGAAUUGACGGGGGCCCGCACAAGCGGUGGAUUAUGUGGUUUAAUUCGAUGAUACGCGAGGAACCUUACCAAGACUUAAAUGGGAAUUGAUCGGUUUAGAAAUAGACCUUCCUUCGGGCAAUUUUCAAGGUGCUGCAUGGUUGUCGUCAGCUCGUGCCGUGAGGUGUUAGGUUAAGUCCUGCAACGAGCGCAACCCCUGUCACUAGUUGCCAUCAUUCAGUUGGGGACUCUAGUGAGACUGCCUACGCAAGUAGAGAGGAAGGUGGGGAUGACGUCAAAUCAUCACGGCCCUUACGUCUUGGGCCACACACGUAAUACAAUGGCCGGUACAGAGGGCAGCUACACAGCGAUGUGAUGCGAAUCUCGAAAGCCGGUCUCAGUUCGGAUUGGAGUCUGCAACUCGACUCUAUGAAGCUGGAAUCGCUAGUAAUCGCGCAUCAGCCAUGGCGCGGUGAAUACGUUCCCGGGCCUU
rnacentral:rRNA from 1 species